CUAGGACAUCAGCCUACCCACAGUUCUGGGCUGCGUCUGUUACUGCCUUGCUUACCCUGCCCCCCACCCAUAACUUCAGAGAAAGGAAAACGGACUGAGCCUCAGCACCCACACACCAUGGCUGCCUUGAAUCCAGAAACAAGGAUGUCACAGCAGUGAAACAGAAAGAUCAACAGCUACGGAGUAAGAGAGUCAUCAAUACUGGAGUCUUAAAGAGAAAACCAAGAAAGUCUCAUGUCACCGAGCAGGCUGAAGAGGGCAAGUGAAACCCUGAGGCAGCCAAGAUCUCUGCUGGAAAUCCAAAACAUCAAUUCUAUGUAUUCAGGGAACAAUCUGCAGAACAUUGGGAGAUGAUGCAGUUAAAAUAUCGUCUUCAUAGAGAUGAGGUCAUGACUAUAAACACAAUCUUUUAAAGCAUGAAUGAAUAGUCUUCCUCUUGAAGGGCAGUUGCUUGCAAGGGGAUGUUACUGUCUUUGAGAGCUUCAAAUUUUUGCUCCCUUGUAAGGAAUGUGGCAAAGAGAGGAACUGAUGGC
rnacentral:lncRNA from 1 species